rnacentral:rRNA from 1 species
UACGGGGGGGAGCAAGCGUUGUUCGGAUUUACUGGGCGUAAAGGGCGCGUAGGCGGUCAGCACAAGUCAGUUGUGAAAUCUCCGGGCGUUAACUCGGAAAGGUCAACUGAUACUGUGCGACUAGAGUGCAGAAGGGGCAACUGGAAUUCUCGGUGUGGCGGUGAAAUGCGUAGAUAUCGAGAGGAACACCUGCGGCGAAGGCGGGUUGCUGGGCUGACACUGACGCUGAUGCGCGAAAGCCAGGGGAGCGAACGGG